AGGAAAGUUCUUGCAUGUUUGAGAAGUUAUGUUUUGUCCAUUUUGUGGAGUGAACCUUCAACACGUUCUGUCAUAUUGUGGGAAAUGUGGCAGAAAUGUUCAGUUUUUAUGGAGUCUGCAAGAUGAAGGUCCUGAAGCUACAAUGGCAGACAAACUUAUUCUGAAG